CGAGCCACGCCACAGAGAAAGCGUCUAUAUUGGGACACGGACACAGCCACAACGUUAGGAGCAAGGGACAAUACAAACUCAGUUAUUUGCUCAAAUCUACGUCCCUUCACAUUUGAUAAUCUCCUUCCAAGGAUCCCAUCACUGUUCUAACUCUGGGAUACCACAGCAAAUGCGAUCACAAAACCUCCACUCUUGGAGCUGCAGAGAUGGUUCAGAGGUUGACAGCUCAUGCCGUUCCCACAGAGGACCUGCGUUUGUUUCCUCGCAUCCACAUCUGGCAGCUCACAACUGUGUGAAAAGCUCCUGAGGAUCUGGUGUGCUCUUCUAGCCACCAUGGAUGCUGCAUGUACGUGCAUGUACACAUAACUAGAAGUAAAAAUAAAACCUCGAGCAAAACACA